rnacentral:tRNA from 1 species
ACCCGUCUAGCUCAGUCGGUAGAGCGCUGGCCUUUUAAGCCAGUGGUCGUGGGUUCGAUCCCACGGGGGUG